rnacentral:rRNA from 1 species
CGGGGGGCAGCAGUGGGGAAUAUUGGACAAUGGGCGAAAGCCUGAUCCAGCCAUGCCGCGUGUGUGAAGAAGGCCUUCGGGUUGUAAAGCACUUUAAGCGAGGAGGAAGGGUAUCAACUUAAUACGUUGGUAUUUUGACGUUACUCGCAGAAUAAGCACCGGCUAACUCUGUGCCAGCAGCCGCGGUAAUACAGAGGGUGCAAGCGUUAAUCGGAAUUACUGGGCGUAAAGCGCGCGUAGGCGGUUGUGUAAGUUGGAUGUGAAAUCCCCGGGCUUAACCUGGGAAUGGCAUUCAAAACUGCACGGCUAGAGUAUGGGAGAGGAAGGUAGAAUUCCAGGUGUAGCGGUGAAAUGCGUAGAUAUCUGGAGGAAUACCGAUGGCGAAGGCAGCCUUCUGGCCUAAUACUGACGCUGAGGUGCGAAAGCAUGGGGAGCAAACAGGAUUAGAUACCCGAGU